rnacentral:rRNA from 1 species
UACGUAGGGGGCUAGCGUUGUCCGGAAUCAUGGGGCGUAAAGAGCGUGUAGGCGGCUCGGUAAGUCCGCUGUGAAAGUCCAGGGCUCAACCCUGGAAUGCCAGUGGAAACUGUCGAGCUAGAGUCCGGAAGAGGCGAGUGGAAUUCCUGGUGUAGCGGUGAAAUGCGCAGAUAUCAGGAGGAACACCAAUGGCGAAGGCAGCUCGCUGGGACGGUACUGACGCUGAGACGCGAAAGCGUGGGGAGCAAACAGG